AGUUCUAUAGAUUAGGGUUAGGCCUUUCCUAUCCAAAGUGUGCUUCACCAAUCAAUGCUUAGUAUUUACUACUACUACGCCAACAACAAAUAUUUAUAUACUGCACUUCAACAACAUUCUCAAAGUAGUUUAAAUAGAAAAAUAAAUGAUACAUAAAUAAGAUGGUCCCCUGUCCUGAAAGGGCUCACAAUCUAAAAAGAAACAUAAGGUAGACACUAGCAACAGCCACUGGAGGGAUGCUGUGCUGGGGCUGGAUAGGGCCAGUUGCUCUCCUCCUGCUAAAUAUAAGAGAAUCAUCACUUUACUCACAGUAGUAGGCGAGAAAGGGAACCCCCAUGAGUAAUGAGGUUCUCCUGUAUGUAUGUGUGUCUAUCUAUCUAUCUAUCUAUCUAUCUAUCUAUCUAUCUAUCUAUCUAUCUAUCUCAUAUACUGACCAGGGGACUAGACUUGAAGACCUCCAUGGCCUCUUCCAACUGUCCCUAGCUUGAUUGUCUGUUUUCAAAGAAGGAAGGCCAGAAGGCAGGCAGGUUAGGGAGAUGCUGCUUUAAGAGGGAAUGGAGGAAGAGGCAAGACAUCUGAAUAAAAUAUAUAAUGAAAUCUCAGCCAAACGCCCCAAGCUCCCACCUAGUCAGAAAUUGUAAGCAGCUCUCACAGUAGGAAAGGCAGAAAAUGUGUUAACCAGACACGAGAACAGGGGAAAGCAAGCACCAGACAUCAUCAGCUGGCAACAAAGCCAACCUCUUAAGUGAAAACAUAUGAUUGCUUCUUCUGGAGUGUUAAAUGUGAAGAAAAUCCAGCCCUGAGACUUAAAAAUGAUUAUCUGGGGAGAGUGCCUUGCUACAACCUUCUCUGUCCAUGUCAAAGACACCCUUUUCCUAGCAUGCCAGACAAGCUAUGGGGUCUCCUGGGUCUCUAUGCUUCUCUAUCUGAACAAUGGCUGUCUUGCAGCAUUGUCCCACUGGGAGAGUAAGCUUCCCUUGGCCUUUGUACAGUAAUUCCUGUCUGCUGCUUUCUUGUCCUUCCAGAGGGAAUAGUGGUUGUAUAUGUGUAUUCCAGACUAUGCAGGGCUGCUUAGAGCUGAAAUGUUGGCUAAACAAUGCAUUUCUUUCCAUCUUAGGCACUGGUCUCUGUAGGACUGAACACAAGCUGACAAUGCAGUUCCUCUAGCCAGAGAUGCAUUUAUUUACACUGAAGGACCACCCAUGACUCAAAAGGCUGUGAAACCAAAAUAAGAAAUUCCACACAAGUCUGAUCCAUGGUUUUGGUCAUACAGAUGCAUUUUACGUCAACUAUCUGCUCUCAGAUCAGAAGGAGGAAGUAACAUUUAAAGUUGCUAAGUUCUGUGAGGCAGCUAAGAAGGCUAGACAACAGAUGGUAAACCAGAUUAUCCAAACGGGAAACUGCUGAUUAGGAUGAGUCCAUGUUCCUGAUUAUAUUAUUUAUAUAUUAUUACUAUAUUAUGUGUAUUAUUAUGUAUGUAAAUUUUGGUCUAUAACCGUAAAUAAACAUGAUGAUGAUGAA